UACGGGGGGGGCAAGCGUUGUUCGGAAUUACUGGGCGUAAAGGGUCUGUAGGUGGCUCGCUAAGUCAGACGUGAAAUCCCUCAGCUUAACUGGGGAACUGCGUCUGAGACUGGCAAGCUUGAGUGCAGGAGAGGAACGCGGAAUUCCAGGUGUAGCGGUGAAAUGCGUAGAUAUCUGGAGGAACACCGGUGGCGAAGGCGGCAUCCUGGACCAAUACUGACGCUGAGGAGCGAAAGCCAGGAGAGCAAACGGG
rnacentral:rRNA from 1 species